ACGGGUGAGGAAUACAUCGGAAUCUACUUUUUCGUGGGGGAUAACGUAGGGAAACUUACGCUAAUACCGCAUACGACCUACGGGUGAAAGCAGGGGAUCUUCGGACCUUGCGCGAUUGAAUGAGCCGAUGUCGGAUUAGCUAGUUGGCGGGGUAAAGGCCCACCAAGGCGACGAUCCGUAGCUGGUCUGAGAGGAUGAUCAGCCACACUGGAACUGAGACACGGUCCAGACUCCUACGGGAGGCAGCAGUGGGGAAUAUUGGACAAUGGGCGCAAGCCUGAUCCAGCCAUACCGCGUGGGUGAAGAAGGCCUUCGGGUUGUAAAGCCCUUUUGUUGGGAAAGAAAUCCAGCCGGCUAAUACCUGGUUGGGAUGACGGUACCCAAAGAAUAAGCACCGGCUAACUUCGUGCCAGCAGCCGCGGUAAUACGAAGGGUGCAAGCGUUACUCGGAAUUACUGGGCGUAAAGCGUGCGUAGGUGGUUGUUUAAGUCUGUUGUGAAAGCCCUGGGCUCAACCUGGGAACUGCAGUGGAAACUGGACAACUAGAGUGUGGUAGAGGGUAGCGGAAUUCCCGGUGU
rnacentral:rRNA from 1 species